GUGCUCACCUUGGCAGCACACAGGUUAAAACUCGAAUGGUACAGAGAAGAUUAGCAUGGCUCCUGUGCUAACAUAAAGCAUUCCAUAUUAAAAAAGAAGAAGAAAAA